AGCAUAAAUGUACAUAUCUCUAUAUACAACUUGACACUUAUUUUCAAGGUGUCUGAAUGUGACCAGUGUCAAAGAGUGGGGCCGCCUUUGAGUGCAGUUAAAACGCUGGAUUGCAUAAAGGUAUCUGCUGUUUGGGAGCUUGUUGGAAUUGACCUCACAGGUCCACUUCCAAAAACAUCCUCUGGCUUUCAAUAUAUUUUAACGGCAACCGACUAUUUUUCCAAGUGGGUGGAGGCCUUCCCUCAAAAGACAAAGUCUGCAGUGGAAGUAGCGAAAAACCUCGGUACGCUUAUUUAAAGACAUGGUUGUUCCCUGCGCAUACUAUCAGACCAAGGACGGGAGUUUGUAAAUCAAAUUAACACCAAUCUCUGCAAACAGCUGUCCAUUGAGAGGAGUGUAACUGCUGCCUACCACCCCCAGACAAAUGGGCUUGAUGAGAAGACCAAUGACAAC